GAUGAACGCUGGCGGCGUGCCUAAUACAUGCAAGUCGAGCGAACAGACGAGGAGCUUGCUCCUCUGACGUUAGCGGCGGACGGGUGAGUAACACGUGGAUAACCUACCUAUAAGACUGGGAUAACUUCGGGAAACCGGAGCUAAUACCGGAUAAUAUAUUGAACCGCAUGGUUCAAUAGUGAAAGACGGUUUUGCUGUCACUUAUAGAUGGAUCCGCGCCGCAUUAGCUAGUUGGUAAGGUAACGGCUUACCAAGGCAACGAUGCGUAGCCGACCUGAGAGGGUGAUCGGCCACCCUGGAACUGAGACACGGUCCAGACUCCUAAGGGAGGCAGCAGUAGGGAAUCUUCCGCAAUGGGCGAAAGCCUGACGGAGCAACGCCGCGUGAGUGAUGAAGGUCUUCGGAUCGUAAAACUCUGUUAUGAGGGAAGAACAAAUGUGUAAGUAACUAUGCACGUCUUGACGGUACCUAAUCAGAAAGCCACGGCUAACUACGUG
rnacentral:rRNA from 1 species